CGUAGGGUGACCUGCGGAAGGAUCAUUA
rnacentral:rRNA from 1 species